rnacentral:rRNA from 1 species
AUUGAACGCUGGCGGCAUGCUUUACACAUGCAAGUCGAACGGUAACAGGUCUUCGGAUGCUGACGAGUGGCGAACGGGUGAGUAAUGCAUCGGAACGUGCCCAGUCGUGGGGGAUAACGCAGCGAAAGCUGUGCUAAUACCGCAUACGAUCUAUGGAUGAAAGCGGGGGACCGUAAGGCCUCGCGCGAUUGGAGCGGCCGAUGUCAGAUUAGCUAGUUGGUGGGGUAAAGGCCCACCAAGGCGACGAUCUGUAGCUGGUCUGAGAGGACGACCAGCCACACUGGGACUGAGACACGGCCCAGACUCCUACGGGAGGCAGCAGUGGGGAAUUUUGGACAAUGGGCGCAAGCCUGAUCCAGCAAUGCCGCGUGCAGGAAGAAGGCCUUCGGGUUGUAAACUGCUUUUGUACGGAACGAAACGGUCUGGGUUAAUACCCUGGGCUAAUGACGGUACCGUAAGAAUAAGCACCGGCUAACUACGUGCCAGCCGCCGCAGUAA